UUCCAAGGAUGGGAAUCGAACCCACAGUGUUCCGCUUACCGGGCAGAUGCCAUGUCCACUAGGCUACCCUGGA